CCUACGGGAGGCAGCAGUGGGGAAUAUUGCACAAUGGGGGAAACCCUGAUGCAGCGACGCCGCGUGAGCGAUGAAGUAUCUCGGUAUGUAAAGCUCUAUCAGCAGGGAAGAAGAUGACGGUACCUGACUAAGAAGCCCCGGCUAACUACGUGCCAGCAGCCGCGGUAAUACGGAGGGGGCAAGCGUUAUCCGGAUUUACUGGGUGUAAAGGGAGCGUAGACGGCGAGGCAAGGCAGAUGUGAAAGUCUGGGGCUCAACCCCGGGACUGCAUUUGAAACUGUGUGGCUGGAGUGUCGGAGAGGCAGGCGGAAUGCGUGGUGUAGCGGUGAAAUGCAUAGAUAUUAGGAAGAACUCCGAUUGCGAAGGCAGCCUACUGGACGAUAACUGACGUUGAGGCUCGAAAGCGUGGGGAUCAAACAGGAUUAGAUACCCCAGUAGUC
rnacentral:rRNA from 1 species